UAAGUCCCGCAACGAGCGCAACCCUCGUUCCAUGUUGCCAGCACGUAAUGGUGGGGACUCAUGGGAGACUGCCGGGGUCAACUCGGAGGAAGGUGAGGACGACGUCAAAUCAUCAUGCCCCUUAUGUCUUGGGCUUCACGCAUGCUACAAUGGCCGGUACAAUGGGUUGCGAUACUGUGAGGUGGAGCUAAUCCCAAAAAGCCGGUCUCAGUUCGGAUUGGGGUCUGCAACUCGACCCCAUGAAGUCGGKGUCGCUAGUAAUCGCAGAUCAGCAACGCUGCGGUGAAUACGUUCCCGGGCCUUGUACACACCGCCCGUCAAGUCACGAAAGUUGGUAACACCCGAAGCCGGUGGCCUAACC
rnacentral:rRNA from 1 species